ensembl:misc_RNA
UUGACAGCUCUGGAGACUAUGAGCAGAGAGGGCACAGCCUUAGACAGCACUAGUACUGGCUUCCCUACACAAUCUUACCAAUGGGCCUGAACUCUGACCUGGAGAGGUCAACCUUUAGCGCUAAGAGGAUGGUUCAGUCUCCACGGCUCAUCCAGUCCUUGGCUUCC